rnacentral:tRNA from 1 species
GCUAACGUAGCUUAAUCCAAAGCAUAACACUGAAGAUGUUAAGAUAAACCCUAAAACGUUUCGUGGGCA